GACACUUAAAGCAAACAUUUGUAUUAUAUUUUGCUUUUCUGCACCGAAUAGACAAUUAUUUAUGUUGUACAAUAUGAUAAUCUCUUUGGGCAAAGAUAUAAUGGUGAACCCAAUGAUGGUGUAAUGCCAUCAGCGAUUCUCUUGAGCACUUCUCCGUUGCUUCAGUAGAUGUACAGUUUAUGCAGGGUAAACGAACCUUGAAGCAUUUCUAAAGCUCACAUCUAAUGGAUAGAUUUCUUAGUGGUGCUCACUGCCAUACUUAAAGAAAGUCUUUUUCAUAUUAAAAAGUUCCGUAUCUUCGUACAACAAAGUCCCAAAUUUAAGAACUGGCAUUUAAAAGAUCUACAUAUUUUUUUAAAUAUGUAAGAAAUUGUCAUUAGGGCAAUUACGUAAUUUUAAACACUGGAGUGUAUCUAAUGAUGUCGUUGUGUGAGCAGAACAACUUCCACAUGUGCACCAAAUCUACUCUGGGUCUCUCCAACCCUCUGAAGCAUAUUUGGAAGCGGGCAGGGAGCACAUGCGGGAAGGAGAGGGAGAAGAUGUUCCAUUGCACAAUAGGACGUUGUUGUGUUCAUGCGAUGACAUAGCUGGAUUCGACCAUCUGGACUUAACGGUCUUAUGGAGGCUCCCUCUUUCAGAUGGUAAUCUGUGCACUUCACUUAAACUUCAAAAUAUGGGGAACCAACCCUGCCACCUUAGAGGGCUCUCCUGAUGAUUAUUCUCAAUGGGGUACAGAACCUCUGCCCAAAACUCCUGGCCUGAAGUCACUGCCGAGAAACAGCAUGCUUAAAAUGCUAUCCUACAAGGUUUUUCCCUUUCCCUUUUUAAAUAAAAUAAUUUCCAGUCUUUGCCUCAACCACUCUUUAUCUCUCUCCCCUUUGCCUUUGCAAAAAGCCAACAAUUUUAAAAAAUAAAAAAUCACAGAAACUUGGCUUUCUUCACUUAGGUAUAUCAAGAAAGAUUUCUUUUUGAAACUUGUCAGAACUGAUGUGUCUUGGCGAAGAUAUAAUGACCCAUAAUGGAAAUAAGGUUUCAUUUUAUUACAUCAAAUCACAAAACAAAAUAGAACAGAGUGAAUGAAAGUUGAAUAUCCUUUCUCUGGAGACAGGAGGCAAUAGAAGGAGCAAACCGAUGGAAAUUUUGCUUUAUGAAAUUAUGGCACAUAUAACUGAGGCAUGCUGGGCACUCUGGCCAAUGUUGUAUUCUGUAGAUCUGUAUAUAGUGUAUAUAGAACGCUGCACUUUCAGUGGGAAAAGCAGGUUCGGUUAUUUUUCUAUCCGCAUGGACUUGGUCAUAUAAUGCCAUGUCUUCAUCUUUCCACCCAAGAGACAGUGUACAUAUUUGCAUAGCAAAUAUUUCAUUGGCAGAGCAUCCCUGACACUCGGCUGGGAGUCAAGAAUACUCACAUAGUCUGGCUUAUGUGCACAGAAGGUGAUAUUAACUUUGGGUUAGUACUCUGGACUUCAUUCUGUUCUAAUCUUUUGGUUCACAUGGGGCUGAUUUGGUAAGAAUCAGAAGAGAAUCGAUCCGUUUCCAUUCACUUCAGUGUCCCAAUGGUGCAUGGCAAACAUUGAUUCUCUUUCUUUAUUCAUUUUCACAAUAAGGAAGAGCAGUCUAAGUACUGCAUUGCACCUAAUAUAUUUUGCGAUGCGGUGGUGGUAGCGGGGAGAAAAGGACUUUUUCAAAGCAAUGUGUCUUCAGUUAGUUAUAUUCUUCUAAAUAACAAGUGCUGGGUAGAUGGCUAGAAAUGAUGUAUCUGGCAAAAUUAAACUACAUUGAUUGAAAGACACAAAUAAUUGUAAAUACACACAAGCGUGCACACGGUUUCUUCUGGUCAAGAACCAGCCAAAUGAUAUGUGAAGGACAUUUCCCAACCAUGACAGGUGAAAGCAGCACAGGCAGGGGAAAUGUAUGUGAUAAGGAUGGGCCCAAUGGCAUCAGAUAACAAUUAAAAUAUCAAUUGCCAACAUGGAAGGACUGUUCUCUACAUCCUUCUGAAAUUUGACUUGAUGGACUCAAAUUAACACUGACACCCACAAAAAAAAUUAAAAAAUCCACCCGGGUCAGUGCUCUUUCAUACACUACAUUUAUUUACUCACAUUGUUUACGAGUUAUAUUCUUCACAGUUGAACAAAGCCACUAUGUUGAAUCUGGAGUAAGUUAACAGUUUCUUUCUAGAAAGAAAUCCCAUGGCAUUGAUGGCUGAUGCUGGAGAUCAGGAGGUAAAAGAGCAUCUUGUAUCUUCUAUGUUGGGGCAUUCCUUAUUCAUACAUGCCUUUCUGCUCCCAUCAGACAACAGACACUUUUGUUUAGUGAUGGGCAAUGUUCACAUUAGUCUUUAGUGUUCUAAUCCAUUAGGCACUGCCUUUUUCUUUGACCUUCAUUCUAGUCAGCUUCUAAGCAAGAGAUACAUAUUUCUCCUUUUUACUUCUUCUCUUGAUAUAUCCUCUUGACGUAAUGGAAACCUUUUAUUUGGAGCAUAGUAAAGAAAAUAUAAAUAGAUGCCUUAUUUAGAUGUAGUAAGAUUUUCUGAAUGCCAACGGUCUGGGGUUCCAAAUGUAACUUCAGGUAAAAUGAAGAAAUCUUAGUAGGGGAAUUUCUUCCUGUGAAUGGGAUUAGGAUGCCUAGGAUAUUACUAUAUGAAGUCAGUUUGACAGCAAGAUAAGAAAGAAACUCUGCAAAAUAAGAAAGGAGGUCAGAAAGGAGUCUUGAUAUUUGAACGUAGGUUAACACUUGCUGAAACCGUUACCUCAAUCUAACAAAUAUUCUGGCAAAUAUACAGGCAAAUAUUCACUACUCUGGUAUUAGUCCAAGUUUAGAAGGUUCUGUGGUUCUGCAACUUCUGUUCAGUAUUGUGGGAAACUGUAGAAAUACAAAAAUGUUCCUAAAUGGUGAUUUCAAUGCUGCGUUUUCACUGAACACAAAGGACUUAAAAAUCAACAGAGCUAUAUCAUUGUUGUCAAGGACUUAAGUCUCUAGAAAGCUGGUUCUUUACAAGAGAAAUGCAAAAUGCAAAACAUCUUAUGGAAACAAAGCUACUGUGCAUAUUGAGCUGUCCAUUUAAAUUGAUACUUCUUAAUAUGUGCAAUUGGGAGGGGUUAAUCCCCUAAAACUAAACAGGUGCUUAGUGUAAUUGCAAAAGAUUUCCAAAACUCUUGGUUAAUAUCCACGUAUCAUUCCUUACUCUAUCAUACAAUGCAUAGGACGAAAAUCUCCUUUCAUAUUUAGCAGGGGGGGAAUUAUUCUGGUUAACUGAAGAGGAUAAACUCUGAGAGAGACGAUUCUAUUGAUGCAGUUUGACCUGAGGUUCAUUGAGUCUCUAAGAUUCAAAGUAUCCACCAUGCUGGCAAGUCUGUUGGUUUAAUGCUGGAACUAACCUACAGAGAACUGUGGGCCCAACCAGAAUGCAGAAAGAGCACAUAGGAGAGAGCUGAACCCUCUUCUUGCAUUUUACCUCCCCACUAUUCAUUACCUCUCCAGGUGUUUUGUCCCGGCUAGACUCACUCACUGCAUCAGAGUCUGACUAACAUGGAAAAAGUAUUCAGGCAACAGAUCGGGACUAGGUAAGCUAUGGGAGGAGGGAGGCUUAGCUCUCUUCACUUGCAUACUAUUUUUGCUAUUCAAAUCUGCUCCCAAUGCACAUUAUGCAUGGCUGGAGGAGACUCACAGUCAAUCAAGUCUACUGCCAUCACAAAUUGUCCUGAAUCUAAGCCUUCGUUCUCAUAAACACUUACUUGGAAUUCAAGUCCCAUUGAAUUUAACAUGGGGUUUGCCUAGAUCCUAGCAUCACCAUGCAGGAUUCAAGGGACUUUCUCCUGUCGCCUGCUCUUUAAAUAGGAUGACACUUGAUGGGGGGGAAAACCAAAUCUGUUGGUAGUUUCCUAUCAAAAGCAUAGAAGAAACCUUGCAGUAUAAAGAGGCUUGCUACUAUUGUUCUUUGGGUUGCAGCAUGGCUAGAAUGUUUUCUGGGAGAACAUUUCCCACCCACCCCUCCUCUCUAUUAUAUGGAUAGGAAGGGAAACCAUGAGACUACUGCAGAAUCUAUAACAUGGCACCAUAAAGGCUGUAUUUUUCCUCCCGCAGCAUGCAACCAUUGACUCCUGGUUCAGAUUUAUACAUUUUGCAAAGGACACGUUUUAAGAUUAACACUAACUUUUCUAUUACCACAAGGUAGUUUUCAAUAAAAUGGGCACAUGUGGCCCUGAGCCAGAGAUUCUUGUGCGCAAUUAGGCUUUGCAUGUGGCUCGUGCCAAGUAUGGAAAUCUGCAUGUAGCUUUACAGACCGUGGAUACAGGUGUUUUCAUCCAUAUCAAGAAACAAAUGAGAAGGUGCAUUCUCAUAAUACUGUGAGGAGUGUUGGGGGUGUACAUGCACUUAAGCAUGUGCAUAAGACCUAGCGCACCUGCUUCCUCAUCCUUGGAUGAUGCUUCCUUUGCUCAAAUGUGAUGCUAUCCAGCAAUGAGCUAUCUGUACAGAGGGCAGGUCUCUUAUGUCUGCCAUUCCUGCCCUCCAUCACUGGGCUCCAUUGUGGGUUUGUGGUGUACAUAAAGGUGUCUCCAUGCGCAAGGGCCCCUCACAUGUCUACACAGAGCAAUCUCUGAAUUGGGGUUAAUGUCUGCAAACAAAAAUCAGCCUUCAACUUUUACAGAACUGCAUGCCUUCAAGGCACACCGAGAUACCAAAUAACAACUCUUGGUGUUGUGCUGCCAAAACAUAGUAUUUAACAUGUGGGCCAUUAUCUGAAUUGCACAUAUUUGGACACAAAGAAAGAUGCAAGUGUGCCACUGAUCUAGCUAGAAGCUUGACAUUCUAAAGUACAAUGCAGAGUGCUGAGCAAAUCUGAUGUGUCCAAUCUUCAAUCAAUGUACAGCAUUUUAUGAUGCAUGUAGUAUUUUAAGUAGCAACAGAAUAUGACUUUGAGGGCGGCAGCCUAUAGUAGGAUAUUACAGUGUUUCUCGCUUCAAUGUAAUAUUUUGUAUGGGUUUAGAGAAGAUGGCCUCUGUUGUGCAUUGUUUGUGAAAUGUUUCUUAUCCCAGAGAGGUGUAUGAUGUAAAAUACGUCAGUGAAAAGUGUAUAUUUUAUGUGAGAGGAAAAUACAUUUUAUUAAAGGUAAAGCUUUGUUAGCUGUAUAAAAUGGCAACUGUUCAAGUGUACAGUAACUUCUUACUAAUGUAUGAAAAUCUGUGAUAUUUUUGAUUUGAUUGUAUUUGUAUUGCCCAAAUAAAACAUUUUGGCUGUAUUGUU
rnacentral:lncRNA from 1 species